GCGGCGUGCUUAACACAUGCAAGUCGAACGGAAAGGCCCUGCUUUUGUGGGGUGCUCGAGUGGCGAACGGGUGAGUAACACGUGAGUAACCUGCCCUUGACUUUGGGAUAACUUCAGGAAACUGGGGCUAAUACCGGAUAGGAGCUCCUGCUGCAUGGUGGGGGUUGGAAAGUUUCGGCGGUUGGGGAUGGACUCGCGGCUUAUCAGCUUGUUGGUGGGGUAGUGGCUUACCAAGGCUUUGACGGGUAGCCGGCCUGAGAGGGUGACCGGCCACAUUGGGGCUGAGAUACGGCCCAGACUCCUACGGGAGGCAGCAGUGGGGAAUAUUGCACAAUGGGCGGAAGCCUGAUGCAGUAACGCCGCGUGCGGGAUGACGGCCUUCGGGUUGUAAACCGCUUUCGCCUGUGACGAAGCGUGAGUGACGGUAAUGGGUAAAGAAGCACCGGCUAACUACGUGCCAGCAGCCGCGGUGAUACGUAGGGUGCGAGCGUUGUCCGGAUUUAUUGGGCGUAAAGGGCUCGUAGGUGGUUGAUCGCGUCGGAAGUGUAAUCUUGGGGCUUAACCCUGAGCGUGCUUUCGAUACGGGUUGACUUGAGGAAGGUAGGGGAGAAUGGAAUUCCUGGUGGGGCGGUGGAAUGCGCAGAUAUCAGGAGGAACACCAGUGGCGAAGGCGGUUCUCUGGGCCUUUCCUGACGCUGAGGAGCGAAAGCGUGGGGAGCGAACAGGCUUAGAUACCCUGGUAGUCCACGCUGUAAACGGUGGGUACUAGGUGUGGGGUCCAUUCCACGGGUUCCGUGCCGUAGCUAACGCUUUAAGUACCCCGCCUGGGGAGUACGGCCGCAAGGCUAAAACUCAAAGGAAUUGACGGGGCCCCGCACAAGCGGCGGAGCAUGCGGAUUAAUUCGAUGCAACGCGUAGAACCUUACCUGGGUUUGACAUGGAUCGGGAGUGCUCAGAGAUGGGUGUGCCUCUUUUGGGGUCGGUUCACAGGUGGUGCAUGGCUGUCGUCAGCUCGUGUCGUGAGAUGUUGGGUUAAGUCCCGCAACGAGCGCAACCCUUGUUCACUGUUGCCAGCACGUUAUGGUGGGGACUCAGUGGAGACCGCCGGGGUCAACUCGGAGGAAGGUGGGGAUGACGUCAAGUCAUCAUGCCCCCUAUGUCCAGGGCUUCACGCAUGCUACAAUGGCUGGUACAGAGAGUGGCGAGCCUGUGAGGGUGAGCGAAUCUCGGAAAGCCGGUCUCAGUUCGGAUUGGGGUCUGCAACUCGACCUCAUGAAGUCGGAGUCGCUAGUAAUCGCAGAUCAGCAACGCUGCGGUGAAUACGUUCCCGGGGCUUGUACACACCGCCCGUCAAGUCAUGAAAGUUGGUAACACCCGAAGCCGGUGGCCUAACCGUUGUGGGGGAGCCGUCGAAGGUGGGACUGGUGAUUAGGACUAAGUCAUAACAA
rnacentral:rRNA from 1 species